rnacentral:tRNA from 1 species
GCCCCUGUAGUGUAGUUCGGCCUAGCAUCCGAGACUGUCACUCUCGGGACCCGGGUUCGAAUCCCGGCGGGGGCGCCA